UAAGACGUGGGAUAACGUUACGGGAAACCGGAGCUAAUACCGGAUAAUAUUUCUAACCGCAUGGUUCGAUAGUAGAAAGAUGGUUUGCUAUCACUUAUAGAUGGACCCGCGCCGUAUUAGCUAGUUGGUAAGGUAACGGCUUACCAAGGCGACGAUACGUAGCCGACCUGAGAGGGUGAUCGGCCACACUGGAACUGAGACACGGUCCAGACUCCUACGGGAGGCAGCAGCC
rnacentral:rRNA from 1 species